UCCGGAUUUAUUGGGCGUAAAGCGAGCGCNGGCGGUUAGAUAAGUCUGAAGUUAAAGGCAGUGGCUCAACCNUUGUAGGCUUUGGAAACUGUUUAACUNGAGUGCAGAAGGGGAGAGUGGAAUUCCAUGUGUAGCGGUGAAAUGCGUAGAUAUAUGGAGGAACACCGGUGGCGAAAGCGGCUCUCUGNUCUGUAACUGACGCUGAGGCUCGAAAGCGUGGGGAGCGAACAGGAUUAGAUACCCUGGUAGUNCACGCCGUAAACGAUGAGUGCUAGGUGUUAGGUCCUUUCCGGGACUUAGUGCCGCAGCUAACGCAUUAAGCACUCCGCCUGGGGAGUACGACCGCAAGGUUGAAACUCAAAGGAAUUGACGGGGGCCCGCACAAGCGGUGGAGCAUGUGGUUUAAUUCGAAGCAACGCGAAGAACCUUACCAGGUCUUGACAUCCCGAUGCCCGCUCUAGAGAUAGAGCUUUACUUCGGUACAUCGGUGACAGGUGGUGCAUGGUUGUCGUCAGCUCGUGUCGUGAGAUGUUGGGUUAAGUCCCGCAACGAGCGCAACCCUUAUUGUUAGUUGCCAUCAUUCAGUUGGGCACUCUAGCGAGACUGCCGGUAAUAAACCGGAGGAAGGUGGGGAUGACGUCAAAUCAUCAUGCCCCUUAUGACCUGGGCUACACACGUGCUACAAUGGCUGGUACAACGAGUCGCAAGCCGGUGACGGCAAGCUAAUCUCUGAAAGCCAGUCUCAGUUCGGAUUGUAGGCUGCAACUCGCCUACAUGAAGUCGGAAUCGCUAGUAAUCGCGGAUCAGCACGCCGCGGUGAAUACGUUCCCGGGCCUUGUACACACCGC
rnacentral:rRNA from 1 species